rnacentral:rRNA from 1 species
UGCGAUCAUACCAGCACUAAUGCACCGGAUCCCAUCAGAACUCCGCAGUUAAGCGUGAGAGUAGUACUAGGAUGGGUGACCCCCUGGGAAGUCCUCGUGUUGCA